GGUCUCCAUAACCACGGGGAUCCUAACACUGAUUCCAGGUACCGUAGCGCUCAAGGUGUUAAUUUGUAGGUGUAACAACUGAAGUAGCUGAACUGUCGAGAGUUUCCCAUCUCAAGGUGUUUUGGAUAAACACCAUACGAAGUUGCAAAUAUUCAAGCAGAACCAUUCUACCACAGCCAAAAAUGACUUUGCCAUUGGCGUUUUAAACAAGAUAAAAAAAUUUGUUGCUGACAAAGUUGAGAAGAAAAACUAAACCAAUGUGAAUAUAACAGCAUCUAGCUGCUUCAGAGACUCCAAAGGACAAGCUGGAGAUGAAGGCUAUAACAUCAAGAAGCUUAGGCAAAAACCCAUCUGUUUUUGUCAUUUUUCUAUUCGACAUGUAGUCCAUUGAAAAAGGUGUAAUUUUAAAAACUAAUUUUGUGAUCUAAACUGGAUUAA